rnacentral:lncRNA from 1 species
UCCUGAAUGGAUCUUCUCAAGAGAAGUAUUCUUUUGUUUAUGCUGGGUGUUGAAAGAUAUGCCCUUCUGUGGCGUGUCCCAAUUUUACAUAUUGCAGUUGACUGGUGGAAGCAGCAGGUGUUCCAUUUUUCAGGUAUGCUUCACAUUUUUGACUUGGGGAUUAAAUUCUAAAUGAUCGCAAUAGGAAUUCAUACUUUUCUCUUAAACACUGAAGUCAUUAUAUCAUAAUAAUCUUAUAUUUUCUCUUUAUAUAUGAUUAUCAGUGCAGUGUUUAUAAAUCGGAGUUAAUAUUCUUGAUGUGCCGCAGCGCCAGAGUUAAUUUCUCACUUAUUUCCACUAGAUGUUUAAAACCUAGUGUGGAAUCUCCCUUAGUCCCCUCAAGAUAACCACCAAUUAGGUGUCACACUGAUUCUAGAAUACUAUGAACUUGUCAAAUCACCUGCUUCUUGUCACGAAUUAGAAUAAUGAAAUUAUUUGAACUGGGAACAUUGUUUGCACGUAAUUACUUAAAAUUGAUGAAAUGCUUGAGAUACUUUUUCACCUGCGCGAAACGUACAAGUUAAAGAAUUAAGAAUUCAUUAACAGGGGACCAUUCCACCUCUUUCAGUUCCCUAUUAUCUUAGAAUAUUGUUUUAUUUCCUAGACCAAAAUUGUCCUUAAUUUGUUGCUUGUCUUGGUUGGAGUUUGGACUUGGGCCAUGUUUCUUUAAGGUAGACCAUUUUUGCAGCUUUCUGCUAGCAAAUAGCCCAUUUCUAAGCUGAUCCAACAGAAUAGUAGAAAUGCCAGAAACUCCUCAAACAUAAUGCAUACUAGACUAGGAAGAAAGCAAAUUUACAUUUACAUAUAACAGUACUUCAUUUAAUCAUAAUUUAAUUAUCAAGUGAUCAACAUGCCCUUUUACUCAAGAGUUGAGACAGUUAACCAAUUAACAAGUUCUGGGCACCUUUAGAAGAGUGCUUGAAUGGAGCCUGGUUUUAAUUGAUUAAACUAACCGAUUGAAAUCUAGUGUAACAUUUGUUCAAACAUAUAGAGAUUUUAAGGUCAGGUGGGAGAGGUCUGGGCUUAAUAAAGUAGCCCAAAGUUUUGUAUGGUACUUUAUUUCGGAUGUGAGUGAAACAAAAAUCUCAUAUUAAUUCAUUGUCCUAUAAUUGAGCUCUAUGGACCUCAGGUGGUCCAUUAUGCACUGGAUAUGAAAAUUUUCACUUUGACUUUAUUCAAAUACAAUCUUUAUUUUGUUUUCUUUUGGGAGGCUCAAACUCUCUUUUCUUUUCUUUUUUCUGACACCUAUUGAAUGACGUUUCCCAACUUAAAUGACACAAGUCUUGGUCCACACCCCCCAGUGUCACUGUUUUUAUUGGAUGAUUUAGUCAUCCCUAACCCCAAUUCAAAGAAACUUACACAUUUUUAUAACUGCUUAGGCUAAUGUUUAAUUCUCAACUCCUACAUAAUGCGCUCCCCACCUUUGCUGGAUUUUAUUUCCUGUCUCUGCCAACUUUAGUUAUGGAAGAAUAAAAAAGAAAAAAAUGGUUCCCCUUAGAUUAAUAAGAUGUCAAAUACUCUGUCUCCUCCAUUUGGAAGCAAUCAAAUCUUUUGAAAAGCAGAGACCCUUUUGUGCGUGGGUGAGUCCACAAGUCUAGUUGAUGUCUGCUACUGCGGUCCCAUAUGUCUGCCAAAUAGGAUGCAUGAAGUGAUAGGUAGAAAGGUGCCUCUCAUACUACAGGCUUCUGAUCCAUAUAACAACAAUCUUUUCCAAAUACAAACUUAGAUUGCGAUGCCAAAAGGACACUGUUAUAGGAAGAAUCUUAGGCCAAGUUUAGUAGAAUUACUACUCCACCUUCUUCAUCCUUUUGCUGAUCCAUCUUGUCAUGAUUUUAACAGUUUUAUGGCUUUAUCUUUUCACUCAAAGCAACAUUACCCUACCAAAUUACCAUUGUUUGGAUUAGAAACUACUUGUAUGCUGUCUCCUGUGUUUUCCAUCAAAUUGAAAGACUAACCUAAUGUAUUUUUAGUUUUCUAAAGGAUUCAUUAUUUUGUCUGCUUCUCCCUUGUCUUGUAAUCAAACAUCCAAGCAUAUCUCUAAAUUUACUGCUGCUAUUGUAUCUUGAUCCAGGACCAUGGUAUUGUUCAGAUCAUCUAGAUGAACAAAUACAUUGUUCCUUUAGAAUACCAAAAUUUAGGUAGUUUAGCACAAUAGUUACUACAGUCAAGGAAGAAAUUAGUAAUUGGAGUCUCAAUCUAAAGUUUUUUUUAGGGGUACAUAAAAAUUUUAAAACUGAAACUCAAACCACAAAUUUUAAAAAAAGAAUCAUUACAAAUCUUAACUACUCUUGAUAACUACCAUCCAGCAAACUAAGACUAUCCUAGUGGUCUUUUUCCAUGCUAAGUGCAUGACAACUAAUCUCUUGGAGGGAAACUUUCCAUAAUCUGUCUCUCAGAUUAAAUUCUGCUAUUCUCUAUGCCCAUAAUUGUAAGACAGCUUUCUAAUAAAGCUGAACUAAAUAACAAAAAGGCUAAAACUAUAUCUUGACUUCUUGAGCGAUCCCAAAGCUUAACUAGAAAUUUAUAAUUUCAUAUUUGGGAAUAGCAUUCAGUAAAAAAUGUGGCAAUUAGGAUAAUAUCUAAUCACAAAAUUCUGAGUACUGCUCCUCUCUCACGCUAUGUACAAGGUUGUUUUUUAGGCUCAAUUAGUCGUUAAAAUCAGAACUCACUGAAACCAAAAAUUAAAAUAUCUUGACUUUCAACAACAGUAGGCAGUCACAUUCUAUCCACAUCUCUGUUCUCUCAUGUCCAAGAAAAGAAAAACAUUAAUUCCACAUCCAGUGGGGAAUACUGCAAAAAUAAGCAAACUGUUCCUGUAUCGAAAAGUGACGGGAUGCAAUUCCAUUGUAGUAAUGAUGUAAUUGCUGCUCAAAAAUGUAAAGAACUAAUGAAAUUGUAUAUGUAAUGAGAUUUUUUUUUGAUAAGUAAAUACAGUAAAUAACACACUUACAUUAAAACACUGGUUUCCAAAAAUUGGCAAACAGUAUUUUUAUUAUCAUAGGUCUUCAGACAAAUUUCUACAAUUGGAAAUCUACAUCUCAUACAUGCAUUGUGGUGCUUAAUUGGUAUCUGUCUUUUUAGGGGAAUAUCAUAAAGUUCCCUAGUUAGCAAUUCUACUGAAUUGUCUAUAUUCUUCCUGAAACAUUUUUCCUUGGGAUUGCCUCCUGGAAAUUCGAAAUAGUUCAUUCAUUUACAUGAACUCACGAGUGCAAGGAUGACUUGAAUCCACUCGUUUCCCUUUUCCUAACUACUAUUUUCCAUUUAAAAACACUAGAAAAUGCUAUUAUAGAUGCAAAGACAGAUCCAUAGCUUGCAGUACUGUUGUUUAAAACACAUUCCCUCCCCUUCCUUUUCUUCCUGUUUCUCGCAAGUAUAGUCUCUAUACAGUGAAAUGUAAAAGACAUACGAAGAGAAGUAUAAUAAGAAAAAGCUUAUGGCCGAUCUUUUCUUAAUGGAAAAUCUCUCUCUCUCUCUCUCUCUCUAUAUAUAUAUAUAUAUAUAUAUAUAUAUAUAUUAACUUGAUAUUGGAUGUGUUAAUCUCAUAUGUUCCUACCAUAUGAUAUUGAGAUAGUUCCAAAAAAGGUCCAGCUGUUGGUAACAUUGAUGAAUUUCAUUGGAAGUCUUGCACAUGUUUUGCAUUAGUUCGGUAUAAAGAAACUUGAUAAAAGGAAAGUGAUCACUGCCUCAUAUGUUGCUGUAGAUACAGAUUUUGGUUAAAUUUUCUUUAGGCAUUUUAACCAAACACCAUUGGAGGGAAUGCUUGUAAAUCUUUUGCGAAUAUAGUAUUUAAUUCUGGAUUUUUGGUCAAAGUAGGCGUGGUUUUAGGUGCGAGAAGAGUGGGUUUAAUGCUGUAGCACUAGUGAAAAAUAAAACACUGUAGUAGUUGACAGAUUAGGGUGUAGCGAUAGAUGAUUUGGACAUGUAAUUAUACCUACAAUUAAUAUGCCAGGAAGAGAGGUUUCAAGAAGCAAUAACUUGAAAUUACAUAUCUCAAGUAAGGUAAGAUUAUCUUUUUCAUGAAAACGAAAGGAAGAACAUAAGCUGAAGGAUCACAUGGUUAACAAAUUCAUCUGAGCUCUUUAUCCUGAUAAUAGCAAAAGCUACCGACAAAGUCUUUUGUCCUCAGUUAAUGGAUGGUCUUUUUUCUUUAGGGAGUGAACCAAUAUCAUGAAAGCUUUUAGGAUAUGGAUUUGAGCCUCCUUUUUGUAGUGGUGUCUCUAGAUAAUUGUAGUACAGUACUGCAAAAUCUGAUAUUGACUGUUUUGUAUCGCUACUGGUAUAUUUGUCAAGAUAAAUAUUAGUGUAGCUUCAGUAAGGUUAGAAAUUAUUGUCCGAUAUAUUUUGAAGUUUCAUUUGAUUAUAAUAGUAUUGUUUAAAAAGUUGGCUCAGAAAGUCAGAAUUACUUCUUCUUUUUUGAGUAUUAUCAGUCAGCUUAAUCUGCAUAUGAAGCUUAUUAUCUAGUGUCUACAUUGGGAUGGGUUAAUAAAGUCUUUACUAUAUGAUAUAUAUUUGUUAUAGCUGUACAUGCCUCAAGCCUCAUAUCGGGAUAUGGUAAAGGUUCAUUUCUUUAUUAAAACUUUGAUAACUGCAUGAUUUGGACAAGCAAGAUGAAAGAUGUUAAAAGAGUUUUGGAGUUGACUACAAUUUCUUGGGGCUCUAAGCUGAUUGAUUAUCUCCCAUCUUUAUUCCGCUAACAAAACCUAUCUAAUUUGAUGGAGACGAUUAAGGUUAUAUUUGUUUGCAAGGAUUAUACUUGGGAUAUAACUAUUAAUUUCAAGUGUCUUGUUUGUUUUCAAAUUUGAACUUGGGACUAUUAGUCUCGGAUUAUAAAAUGACUUAAUAUUUUUGACAUUAUAAUUAUAUUUCCGGAAUUAUAAUCCUAUGAUUAAUUAGAUUUGGCAAAAAAUAGGUUUGUAUUGGUUUUGGUUACAUAAAAUAGGUUUGAGUUAAUUUUUGGAACCAAAACUAUAUUACCUAUAUUUAAUAUUGGUUAUGUGGUUUGAAUUUAAAUGGUAAUGGGUAGAAUUCAGGUCAACCUAUUUUUCAAAUUAUAGUUUCACUAAAAUCUUAAUUUCUUUUAUACUAAAAGAGUCUUAUUUUAAUUUUUUAGACCCAAGUUUGAAAUUAAAAAUUUUAAUUGAUGGGGGUGAGGGUGAGGGCGAAUAAAAAUAUAAAUAAGUGAAAUUCACAUAUAUUCAUGUCCAAUUUUCAUUUGUUAGAAUAUUGACAGAUUUGGAAGGAAAUUGAAGAGAGGAUCUAGCAUGUUAGUUACAAAUCAUGUCUCACAUCACUAAUCCUAUGAAAUAACAAAUUUAACCACUUGGCAUGCACUCAACAUUUCCGUUUUUAUUCUCUUAAAUUAAAGUUAAAACAAUUCAAUAUAAUUCAUCCUCAAAAUAUUCUAGACUAGUCAUUACUUGAAUAUAAAUUAUACUCAUUCUGUUUCAAUAUAUAUAUAUAUAUGAUUAAGUUUGAUUUUUUUAAAUUAAUUGAAAAUAUUUUAAAUUGAUGAUGUGAUUCAUAAACUUAUUGAAAUUAGCUAAUUUAGAAUGUUUGCAAUUUUAUAAAUGUAUUGCAUAAAAUUAAAUUAAUUUAUAUAUAAGUAUUGAAUUUAAAAAUAUUUUAAAUUAAAUUCAAAAAAUAAUAUUCAUCUUAUAAUUAUAUAACAUAAAUUUUUAGUUUUGAAACAUCUCAAAAAUGUAUGAGUGGAGCAUGUCCCUUUCUUGCAUGUGCCAUUUAUGAUUUGAGGAUUUUAUACUUGUCCAGCUUGCAAAACUUGAUGCNNNNNNNNNNNNNNNNNNNNNNNNNNNNNNNNNNNNNNNNNNNNNNNNNNNNNNNNNNNNNNNNNNNNNNNNNNNNNNNNNNNNNNNNNNNNNNNNNNNNAAUUCGUUUGGUCGUGGAAUAUUCUUACUGUCGGGGAAUAUUCGUAUGACGGCACAGCCUUGUGUGGGCCCUAUAACGGAAAGCGAUUGGAUGAAUAAAACGACAAAUAUAAGUUUAUAAAUAACGGCGUAGUUGGUACCGUUAAUACUGUUAAAAUAUUCGGUGGUUAAAACACAGUAGCACACGGUAUUACACCAAUUAUUGAUUCUUACGUAAGAAGACACUACUUAAUAAUUGUUACAGUAGUUACUGUUCAAUAUUUUAUUUUAUUGAUUCAAUAAUUGCUACGUUGAUAUUUUAUAUUAUUGUUGUUUCAAUAAUUGUCAUUACACAGUAUUUUCAUUAUCAGAUCAAUAAUUUAUAUUAUUUGAAUAAUAUUAUUAGAUAACAUUAUUGGCAAUGUCUAGAAAAUUCUGUCUAAGGAGAUGUUUGGUCACCUAAUUGCGCGCCAGUAAGGAGAAAUCUUUAUUGGAAAAAGCCCCCUCUUUCCUGGGAACAGCCUGGUUGCCAGUAUUGUGAUUCUGUAAUAUUAUUUGUGAAUAAUUAAUUAUUGAUUUAUAUGAUAAGGAAAAUAUUCAUUUUAUAUGGAUAUAGAUGGAGAAAUUUUUUAAUGUAACAAUUGUUUAAAAUUGAUAUUUUAUCUUUUCGAUAAAAUAAUUCAUUUAAAUAAUUUUUUUGCUUUGGUGUUCUAAGCAUUUUUCUAUAAAUAGGGUGCUUCGGUAUGAAGAGUCUCUGUUUCAGCUCUUUGGAGCUUCCUUUUCAGAGCUAAAACUUCCUUGUUCACCACUUUCAUGGCGUAAUAACAGCUCUCGUCGCUCUGGAGACUGCAGAGGUACACUUUUUCGAUGUCGCCGCUACCAAUCUGGCGGACGAGGCUAAAGUCUCGGAAUCCGAGGUGACUAUCGAUCUACUGUAAGAGAGCGAGAGAUAGAGAGAGAGAGAUAAAGGAGGGGGAAGAGGAGGAGAUCCGUGUUUAAGCUCAAGAGAAGAAAGUAGAUUCAUGUUCAAGAGAGAAGAAAGUAGAUCCGUGUUCAAGAGAGAAGAAAGAGAUAGGGUUCACUAUCGUCCUUCUUCUAAUUUCAAAAUUUAAGCUCUGUGUUUUAUUUUUG